CGCGGGCCUCAGGGCGAGGGCUCGCCACGCUGGGCGCCCCGCGGAAGUGAAACUGCUCAAGGGCUUGCUCGGGCCUCCUUUUUAGGACGCUUUGGUUUCUCCUAACACUCUCUGGUCCUGUUCCCGCCUCAUCUUUUCACUCAGGACAUUUUUUGAGCUAGGCUACCUGUUCCUGUAGCCCUUCUUGUCCCAUUCAAGGGCUUCCACAAUGCUUCCACUUCCAGGAACAGGGAUACCAGAAGUAGACACUUGCUGGAAAAGGGGACUAAGAGAUAUAGACAUACAGAUAUGGAUGUAUCAGUAAAGGUACGGAAUGAGAACAUAGCUCUUGUUCAAAAGUUAUGAGCUGAUACCACCACACUCACUGCCGCCCAUCCUCACCCCUGCCUGUGCUAACAAGUGAAAGUGAGUUUGCUGGAACGGAGCUUGAUUACUGUAUCUGAGUUUUAAGAAACAAUACUAUAAAAUGUUUAAAUGUAAAAAAAUCUAAAAUUCUCUAUUUCUCUUUUUGCUUGUUUUGGCUUUCUUUGAGAACUCUGAUAAUUUGCUUCUGUGUUUACCCUAUAAUUAUUGAUUAGAUAAGGUUUUCAGUCCCACUCCGUACCCUACUUAUAAUGUUUUUCUUAGCACCUAACUCACCACAGGUCUCUCAAUAGCUGAACCUGUUAGCUUCAAUCUACAGGAUUGAUAAAAGGAGACACUGCUCUUCACAUUUUCAUUAUUCACUUAUUUAUUCAUUUAUUAAGUCAUUCAAAGAGAUUUUUGUAAGUGCUUAUCAUAUCCAAGAUAACAGUGCUGGACACUGGACAUACAUUGAUGAAAAGAUACAGCCCUUGCUUCCAAAAACUCUGCCUUCUAGAUAUUGUGCUUCAGUUUUUGUGGAGAGUUGUAUCAGAUAAAGUAAUACUAAAUGGUUCUAUAGUAAUUGAAAAAUACCUCUGGACAACUGGAUGGGUCAAGGAUAUUCUUGUAAGCAAUGUGUUUAUUGGGGCAGUUUCCGUUAUAAAUAAAUCAUAGUGAAGAAACAUUGAAUUUGGGAGUUUGGAACUAGAAGACAACAACAGGAAGUGGUUUGGAAGCAAAUUUCAACAGGAAGAGAAGCAAAGAUAAUGUUUCAGCCAAUGGUGUAACUAGCUAUUAGUGUGCUUAGGGCAGGUUCUAAUAAUUGUGCCCCUUGACACCGUCCAAAAAUUAGAAGAGCAUAUAGAAGGUAUUUCCCACAUCUACCACACAAUUUCAAAAGGCAGUGAAUAGCCUGUUAACAGUUUAGAAGAGAAGAUAAUGCAGACAGUUAUUUGAGGGAAGUGAAGUAAGUUUCCUGCUGAAGUCCCUAUCAUCUUGGAUUAUGAUGUGAAAAGCAAGUCAUUGCAAUCAAUGUCUGAAACACUCAUUCAGAGAAGAAAAAGCAGUUAACAUAACUGACUCUAC